GUAUGCAUGGCAUAGUGGUUUGAGUGUUGGACUGAGAUUCUGGAGACUAGGGUUUGAUUCCCUGCUUGGCCA